UAUUAUUCUAAGAUAGUGAGUAAACCCUAGGUUAGUAAUAGAUAUUUACUUAAAAUCUAAAAAAUUUGGCGGUAAUUUAAUCUUUCCAGAGGAACUUGUUUUUUGAUCGAUAAUCCCCGAAAUAUCUUACUUAUUUAAAGAUAAAGUUUGUAUACCGUCAUUAUUAGGUAAUUUUUAAAAAAUUAAUUACUAAAUUUAAAAAAUUAAUAAAAUUAGACCAUGGUGCAGCUAAUGAAUAAGUUUAAAUGAGUUACAAUAAAUUAUUUUAUACGAAACAAAUAGAUGAAUAUUUAUUUAGAAGGAGGAUUUGGUUGUAUUUUGAGUUUAAUAAGCUUGAAAGAUGGUAGCUCUAAAUUAUGUACAUAU
rnacentral:rRNA from 1 species